rnacentral:rRNA from 1 species
UACGUAGGGGGCAAGCGUUGGUCCGGAAUCAUUGGGCGUAAAGCGCGUGUAGGCGGCUGACUAAGUCCGCUCUGAAAGCCCGGGGCUCAACCCCGGGAGGCGGGUGGAUACUGGUCAGCUCGAGUCCGGAAGAGGAGUGUGGAAUUCCUGGUGUAGCGGUGAAAUGCGCAGAUAUCAGGAGGAACACCAAUGGCGAAGGCAGCUCGCUGGGACGGUACUGACGCUGAGGCGCGAAAGCGUGGGGAGCAAACAGG